UGGAAUUUGACCUCUUAGUGGUGAGGAGGCAAGCAAACAAACUCACACCUGAGGUUUUUUUCCAUGGACUGACUGCUCAUCAGAAGACUUAGCCUGCCUCAGUGUUUUACCCACCAGAGGGAUUUCUGCUGCAGAAAUGAGCACUCUAAACAAAAGGAAGCCAAGCCACCUGUCAGUGAGCAGCUAGCUGGUCUAAUAUGGGAGUCGCCUACGUCUUUGCCUCACUUCAUGGAAGAAGUCUAGUCCCAGAGGCAAAGCUCACCAGCUGACCAACAGUGGUUCAACUUCCCUGGGAGUUCCUGAGAAAGAAAGGGCCUCUGGCCCAACGUAAGACCUCUGGCUGCCAGGGCAUCCAGGUAUCGAGACAAGUUGCCUCAGGAAAAACACUUGAGGUAAGUGUACUUUGUGGUCCUUCUGCAUAUUCACACAAUGGGUACACUUUCAAGUUCUCUCACCUACACACACACACACACACACACACACACACACACACACACACACACUCCAAGGGUACAAUCACUUAAUACCCCCAACAAUAAUUACCAUAAAAUGCUCAAAAAAAUGAAA